CACUUGACUACAUACUCGAUUGCG
rnacentral:siRNA from 1 species